UACAGAGGGGGCAAGCGUUGUUCGGAAUCACUGGGCGUAAAGCGCACGUAGGCGGACUCUUAAGUCAGGGGUGAAAUCCUGGAGCUCAACUCCAGAACUGCCUUUGAUACUGGGAGUCUUGAGUUCGGGAGAGGUGAGUGGAACUGCGAGUGUAGAGGUGAAAUUCGUAGAUAUUCGCAAGAACACCAGUGGCGAAGGCGGCUCACUGGCCCGAUACUGACGCUGAGGUGCGAAAGCGUGGGGAGCAAACAGG
rnacentral:rRNA from 1 species